UACGAAGGGGGCUAGCGUUGCUCGGAAUUACUGGGCGUAAAGCGCACGUAGGCGGCUUUCUAAGUCGGAGGUGAAAUCCUGGAGCUCAACUCCAGAACUGCCUUCGAUACUGGAGCUUGAGUCCGGGAGAGGUGAGUGGAACUGCGAGUGUAGAGGUGAAAUUCGUAGAUAUUCGCAAGAACACCAGUGGCGAAGGGCGGCUCACUGGCCCGGUACUGACGCUGAGGUGCGGAAAGCGUGGGGAGCAAACAGGG
rnacentral:rRNA from 1 species